AACUGCAUGGAAUAAUCAAUUAUUCCGUGCGAUCGUGUUAAGUCGACCGCACGGGAUAAUCGAUUAUCCCGUGCCGUC
rnacentral:pre_miRNA from 19 species